rnacentral:misc_RNA from 1 species
AACGCAUCUUGCGCUCCAUGGUAUUCCGUGGAGCAUGCCUGUUCGAGUGUCACGUCAACCCUCACCCUCGUGAUGUCAAAGUCACCCGCGGUGGACUUGGACCGUGCCGUAGUCGGCUCGUCCUGAAAUACAUUAGCUUGUGCUUUUAGAGCGCUCGGCACCGGUGUGAUAAUUAUCUGCGCCAACGCCUUAGGCCUCUUCAGCGGCGCUGCUUACAGUCGUCCCGACGGACAAUUAUUUUAAAGCUUUGGCCUCGAAUCAGGUAGGACUACCCGCUGAACUUAA